UACAGAGGUCUCAAGCGUUGUUCGGAUUCAUUGGGCGUAAAGGGUGUGUAGGUGGCGCGCUAAGUCGGGUGUGAAAUUUCGGAGCUUAACUCCGAAACUGCAUUCGAUACUGGCGUGCUUGAGGACUGGAGAGGAGACUGGAAUUCAUGGUGUAGCAGUGAAGUGCGCAGAUAUCAGGAGGAACACCGGUGGCGAAGGCGGAUCUCUGGGCCUUACCUGACGCUGAGGCGAGAAAGCUAGGGGAGCGAACAGG
rnacentral:rRNA from 1 species